AGUGAACGCUGGCGGUAGGCCUAACACAUGCAAGUCGAACGGCAGCACAGUAAGAGCUUGCUCUUACGGGUGGCGAGUGGCGGACGGGUGAGGAAUACAUCGGAAUCUACUUUUUCGUGGGGGAUAACGUAGGGAAACUUACGCUAAUACCGCAUACGACCUACGGGUGAAAGCAGGGGAUCUUCGGACCUUGCGCGAUUGAAUUAGCCGAUGUCGGAUUAGCUAGUUGGCGGGGUAAAGGCCCACCAAGGCGACGAUCCGUAGCUGGUCUGAGAGGAUGAUCAGCCACACUGGAACUGAGACACGGUCCAGACUCCUACGGGAGGCAGCAGUGGGGAAUAUUGGACAAUGGGCGCAAGCAUGAUCCAGCCAUACCGCGUGGGUGAAGAAGGCCUUCGGGUUGUAAAGACCUUUUGUUGGGAAAGAAAAGCAGCAGGUUAAUACCCCGCUGUUCUGACGGUACCCAAAGAAUAAGCACCGGCUAACUUCGUG
rnacentral:rRNA from 1 species